CUGAGCCUGCGAUGUUCGCGCUUAGGGACCAUAAUUUUUGAACCAACACUAGAGAAUCUGGGAUCUCAAGAUUUGCGUGUGUAGGUCAUGCUCCUCAAAGAGUAGACCGAGGUACGCGUGCGGGAACCCACCUGUAAUAACAGGUUCAAAAGAUUCGCCUCCUACACGGCAUCGCGGGUUCAUU
rnacentral:other from 1 species